rfam:Camelus ferus unplaced genomic scaffold scaffold736, whole genome shotgun sequence.
GUCUACGGCCAUACUACCCUGAACACGUCCUAUCUUGUCUGAUCUCGGAAGCUAAGCAGGGUCGGGUCUGUUUAGUACUUAGAUGGGAGACAUCGUGUGGGCUUAUGAAAGAUCACUAAUUAAUGUACAUU